AUUGAACGCUAGCGGCAUGCUUAACACAUGCAAGUCGAACGGCAGCACAGUACUGGGCAACCAGUAUGGGUGGCGAGUGGCGGACGGGUGAGUAACGCGUAGGAAUUUACCUUAUAGUGGGGGAUAACUCGGGGAAACUCGAGCUAAUACCGCAUAAUCUCUACGGAGCAAAGCGGGGGACCUUCGGGCCUCGUGCUGUAAGAUGAGCCUGCGUUGGAUUAGCUUGUUGGUGGGGUAAUGGCCUACCAAGGCGACGAUCCAUAGCUGGUCUGAGAGGAUGACCAGCCACACUGGGACUGAGACACGGCCCAGACUCCUACGGGAGGCAGCAGUGGGGAAUAUUGGACAAUGGGGGCAACCCUGAUCCAGCAAUGCCGCGUGUGUGAAGAAGGCCUUCGGGUUGUAAAGCACUUUCGACAGGAAAGAAAGCCUUAGUUCUAAUACAGCUAAGGUGUGACGUUACCUGUAGAAGAAGCACUGGCUAACUCUGUGCCAGCCGCCGCCGUAAAAC
rnacentral:rRNA from 1 species